rnacentral:rRNA from 1 species
AGUGAACGCUGGCGGUAGGCCUAACACAUGCAAGCCGAACGGCAGCACAGUAAGAGCUUGCUCUUACGGGUGGCGAGUGGCGGACGGGUGAGGAAUACAUCGGAAUCUACUUUUUCGUGGGGGAUAACGUAGGGAAACUUACGCUAAUACCGCAUACGACCUACGGGUGAAAGCAGGGGAUCUUCGGACCUUGCGCGAUUGAAUGAGCCGAUGUCGGAUUAGCUAGUUGGCGGGGUAAAGGUCCACCAAGGCGACGAUCCGUAGCUGGUCUGAGAGGAUGAUCAGCCACACUGGAACUGAGACACGGCCCAGACUCCUACGGGAGGCAGCAGUGGGGAAUAUUGGACAAUGGGCGCAAGCCUGAUCCAGCCAUACCGCGUGGGUGAAGAAGGCCUUCGGGUUGUAAAGCCCUUUUGUUGGGAAAGAAAAGCAGCAGGUUAAUACCCCGCUGUUCUGACGGUACCCAAAGAAUAAGCACCGGCUAACUUCGUG